rnacentral:rRNA from 1 species
GAAGUGGGGAUGACGUCAAGUCCUCAUGGCCUUUAUGCCUAGGGCUACACACGUGCUACAAUGGGCGGUACAAAGAGAAGCAACCUCGCGAGGGUGAGCAAAUCUCAAAAAGCCGUUCUCAGUUCGGAUUGAAGUCUGCAACUCGACUUCAUGAAGUCGGAAUCGCUAGUAAUCGCGGAUCAGCAUGCCGCGGUGAAUACGUUCCCGGGCCUU